rnacentral:miRNA from 1 species
UGCAGGAGUGUAGGAUAACGC